rnacentral:misc_RNA from 1 species
GAUGAAGAACGCAGCGAAAUGCGAUAAGUAGUGUGAAUUGCAGAAUUCCGUGAAUCAUCGAAUCUUUGAACGCACAUUGCGCCUCCUGGUAUUCCGGAAGGCAUGCCUGUUCGAGAGUCAUUAACAACCGUUUCGAUCCCUUUCUUUCAGAAAUUACAAAGAGGAAAAGGGUUUGGUUAUGGUGGAGGAGGGAAAGGGAGCGUUUAGCCUGUAAAAAAAGAGGCUGUGUUCCGCCUCCCCCCCAAAAUUGUACAGGCGGUCGUGUGCGCCCACGCAUCGAGGUGUUGUAAAAGCUGCCACGGCACUUUUCACCUGUGCAGUGCGAGAUUGGCCAGCCGGUUUAAAAACCCCUCCAAACAAUCAAAGGUUGACCUCGGAUCAGGUAGGGAUACCCGCUGAACUUAAGCAUAUCAAUAAGCGGAGGA